rnacentral:rRNA from 1 species
UGGGGAAUAUUGCGCAAUGGGCGAAAGCCUGACGCAGCAACGCCGCGUGAGUGAUGAAGGCCUUCGGGUCGUAAAGCUCUGUCGGAGGGAACGAAUGCUCUUGAGGUUAACAGCCUCGGGAGGUGACGGUACCCUCAAAGGAAGCACCGGCUAACUCUGUGCCAGCAGCCGCGGUAAUACAGAGGGUGCAAGCGUUGUUCGGAUUUACUGGGCGUAAAGGGCGCGUAGGCGGCGCGGUAAGUCACUUGUGAAAUCUCUGAGCUUAACUCAGAACGGCCAAGUGAUACUGCAGUGCUAGAGUGCAGAAGGGGCAAUCGGAAUUCUUGGUGUAGCGGUGAAAUGCGUAGAUAUCAAGAGGAACACCUGAGGUGAAGACGGGUUGCUGGGCUGACACUGACGCUGAGGCGCGAAAGCCAGGGGAGCAAACGGGAUUAGAUACCCACGUAGUCCCUGAGCGGGCUGGCAAGGCGCAU